AACGAGGCCGACCUGCGGCUGAGUUACCUGCGGAGGGAUCAUUACCAGUACCACCGUCGCCUCCGGGCGUCGGUCUACUACCAACCCUUUGUCAUCCGACCUCGUUGCCUCCGGGUGCGACCCUGACCUUCGGGUCUCGCGUCUCCCCGGGUGGACACACAUCAAAACUCUGCAUAACUUUGUUGUCUGAGUAAAACUUUUAAUUAAAUUAAAACUUUUAACAACGGAUCUCAGAUCGGA
rnacentral:misc_RNA from 1 species